rnacentral:rRNA from 1 species
CCCUUAGAUGUUCUGGGCCGCACGCGCGCUACACUGACCAGUGCAACAAGCAUCCGUCCUUGGCCGACAGGCUCGGGCAAUCUUUGAACGCUGGUCGUGAUGGGGAUAGACUUUUGCAAUUUUUGGUCUUCAACGAGGAAUUCCUAGUAAACGCAAGUCAUCAGCUUGCAUUGAUUACGUCCCUGCCCUUUGUACACACCGCCCGUCGCACCUACCGAUUGAAUGGUCCGGUGAAAUCUCGGGACGGCGGCUUGGUCGCUUGCGUCCGACUGCUGAAACUUGAUUAAACCAUAUCAUUUAGAGGAAGGUGAAGUCGUAACA